ACUUAAAUUGAAGAGUUUGAUCAUGGCUCAGAUUGAACGCUGGCGGCAGGCCUAACACAUGCAAGUCGAACGGUAACAGGAAGCAGCUUGCUGCUUUGCUGACGAGUGGCGGACGGGUGAG
rnacentral:rRNA from 1 species